rnacentral:rRNA from 1 species
GACGAACGCUGGCGGCGUGCUUAACACAUGCAAGUCGAACGAAGAGCGAUGGAAGCUUGCUUCUAUCAAUCUUAGUGGCGAACGGGUGAGUAACGCGUAAUCAACCUGCCCUUCAGAGGGGGACAACAGUUGGAAACGACUGCUAAUACCGCAUACGAUCUAACCUCGGCAUCGAUGAUGGAUGAAAGGUGGCCUCUAUUUAUAAGCUAUCACUGAAGGAGGGGAUUGCGUCUGAUUAGCUAGUUGGAGGGGUAACGGCCCACCAAGGCGAUGAUCAGUAGCCGGUCUGAGAGGAUGAACGGCCACAUUGGGAAUGAGACACGGCCCAGACUCCUACGGGAGGCAGCAGUGGGGAAUCUUCCGCAAUGGACGAAAGGCUGACGGAGCAACGCCGCGUGAGUGAUGACGGCCUUCGGGUUGUAAAGCUCUGUUAAUCGGGACGAAAGGCCUUCUUGCGAAUAGUUAGAAGGAUUGACGGUACCGGAAUAGAAAGCCACGGCUAACUACGUG